GACGGAAGCUAAACUGUUACAUUUAUACUGUGUUCUAUAUAAAGCUUGUUUUGCCUACUGUAGGAUCAUGUUGGUUUUGGAUUGUUGCUAGCUUUCAGGAUUCUUAAAGUGUUGUAGGUUUACUUUGGUCACUGGAACCUGGACUAGUGUAGGUCUGUGUGAACAGAAAAGGAUCUGUCUGUAUGGUGUGACUGUGCUUCCAUUGACCUUGUUCUGGUCAAUAAGACUUGUGUCCCUCUCAACCGUACUGUUCUGGGUUUCACUGGAAAUAACCGAUCCCUUUACACACACUUGACCCUUUCUGAUCAGCCACACUGGCAGAAUCACACGUACGCACACACUCACAAACAAACAAACAAACAAAGCAUCAUCAAUGGAUGGAAAGAAGCAGAUCAGAGAGAGAGGGAGAGUGGAACAUAUCAGCUUACCACUGACCAUGUAAACUGAGUCUAACUGGUUUAGGGCUGUUGCCAUUACACACAUGUUUUCAUGGGUUUGCACGACAUCGUAUGUCUUGGUCAAGUUAUGAUCACACCUGAUCUGUUGUGUUGUGUGUCAGCAAAUGUCAGAGCAGUCGUGUGUGUGUGUGUGUGUGUGUGUGUGUGUGUGUGUGUGUGUACCAAGCCACUAGACUGACCAUGCUCUUAUCAGCACGUGGCACAGUGAAGACGCCAAGCCACUAGACUGACCAUGCUCUUAUCAGCACGUGGCACAGUGAAGACGCCAAGCCACUAGACUGACCAUGCUCUUAUCAGCACGUGGCACAAGGAAGACGCCAAGCCACUAGACUGACCAUGCUCUUAUCAGCACGUGGCACAGUGAAGACGCCAAGCCACUCGACUGACCAUGCUCUUAUCAGCACGUGGCACAGUGAAGACGCACUAGAAGCCACUCGACUGACCAUGCUCUUAUCAGCACGUGGCACAGUGAAGACGCCAAGCCACUAGACUGACCAUGCUCUUAUCAGCACGUGGCACAGUGAAGACGCCAAGCCACUAGACUGACCAUGCUCUUAUCAGCACGUGGCACAGUGAAUACGCCAAGCCACUAGACUGACCAUGCUCUUAUCAGCACGUGGCACAGUGAAGACGCCAAGCCACUAGACUGACCAUGCUCUUAUCAGCACGUGGCACAGUGAAGACGCCAUACUCCCCUGAACAUGCUCUUAUCAGCACGUGGCACAGUAAAGACGCCAUACUCCCCUGAACGACCACUACAUUGGUCCCUCCAUGUCUACAGGUUCUCUUCCUUCAUUCAAAACAUGUUGUAUCACUAAAUUGACCCCAACCCUGCUGUGUAGCUCUAUAGUGCUUUAUAGUUUGCUUGAGUAAUUCAUGGAUUGAUAGAUUGAUUGACAACCCUAGUUCUGUAGUGCUGUCCCCUCCUCUCUCUCUCUCAAUCCUCCAUCUCUCUCUUUAUAACCCCCCUUAUCCCCUCUGUGUGCAAUGUCCCGGGUCCCUCUCAGUUCAUUCAUGCGGAUCCAGGAAGUGCAUUCCUCGCCACAUCCCCAGGCUAUGCUCCAUCACACCACCCAUUCCUGCCACCCUAUCACACACAGCACUGCCCAGUAGUUUCUAGAUGGCCACGCUAGAAAGGACAGAAGUGACAAUAUCAUCAGAACUGAUGAGCAUGUGCAUAAAUGAUACGUGUCAUUGACUAGAUAAAAGACAGAAGUUUGGCCCAUGUCAUUGACUAGGUAAAAGACAGAAGUUUGGCCCAUGUCAUUGACUAGAUAAAAGACAGAAGUUUGGCCCAUGUUAUUGACUAGAUAAAAUACUGAGAGGUUUGGCCCAUGUUAUUGACUAGAUAAAAUACUGAGAGGUUUGGCCCAUGUCAUUGACUAGAUAAAAUACUGAGAAGUUUGGCCCAUGUCAUUGACUAGAUAAAAGACAGAAGUUUGGCCCAUGUUAUUGACUAGAUAAAAUACUGAGAAGUUUGGCCCAUGUUAUUGACUAGAUAAAAUUGUCACACCCUGGUCUAAGUAUUUUGUGUUUUUCUUCAUGUAUUGGGUCAGGCCAGGGUGUGGCAUGGGGUUUUUGUAUUGUGGUGUGUUUUGUCUUGGGGUUUUGGUGUGUAUGUAUUGGGAUUGCAGCUAGUGGGGUUAUCUAGCAAAGUCUAUGGCUGUCUGGAGUGGUUCUCAAUCAGAGGCAGGUGUUUUAUCGUUGUCUCUGAUUGGGAACCAUAUUUAGGCAGCCAUAUUCUUUGAGUUUGUCGUGGGUGAUUGUCCUUAGUGUCCUUGUUCCUGUCUGUGUUAGGUUACACAAUUAUAGGCUGUUUCGGUUUUCGUUACGUUUAUUGUUUUUGUAGUGUUUGUUAUUGAUUCGUGUUUUACGUUCGUUAUUAAACAUGGAUCGCAAUCUACACGCUGCAUUUUGGUCCGAUCCUUGUUCUACCUCUUCGUCAGAGGAGGAGAUAGAAGAGAGCCGUAACAGAAUCACCCACCACAAACGGACCAAGCAGCGUGUAAACAGGCAGGAGCCACAGGAGAGGCAACAGAGGCAGCAGCAGCAGCAGCAGCAGCAGUGGGAGAGGCUGCACUAUUUGGAGGAAUUGGAAGGAAGAGGACCCUGGGCUCAGCCAGGAGAAUAUCGCCGCCCCAAAGAAGAACUGGAGGCGGCGAAAGCGGCGAGGCGCUGGUAUGAGGAGGCAGUGCGGCGUCGUGGAUGGAAGCCCGAGAGUCAGCCCCAAAAAUGUAUUGGGGGGGGCUCACAGGAAGUAGGGCGAAGCCAGGUAGGCGACCUGCGUCAACUUCCUGUGGUUACCGGGGGGCUAGAGAGACCGGGCAGGCACCGUGUUAUGCUGUGGAGCGCACGGUGUCUCCAGUGCGGGUGCACAGCCCGGUGCGGUACAUUCCAGCUCCGCGUAUCGGCCGGGCUAGAGUGGGCAUCGAGCCAAGUGACAUGGCACCAGCCUUGCGCACGGUGUCCCAGGUUCGCCUGCAUAGCCCAGUGCGGGCUAUUCCACCUUGCCGCACUGGCAGGGCGACCGGGACCAUUCAACCGGGUAAGGUUGGGCAGGCUCGGUGCUCAAGAGCUCCAGUGCGCCUGCACGGCCCGGUCUAUCCGUCACCACCUCCACGCACCAGCCCUCCGGUGGCAGUCCCCCGCACCAGGCUGUCUCUCCGGUCCAUCCUUACGGGGGCUCCCUCCUCUCCAGCACUGCCGGAGCCUUCCUCCUCUCCAGCGCUGCUGGAGUCUCCCGCCUGUUCAGCGCAGCCAGAGCUGCCAGCCUGCAUGGAGCAGCCAGAGCUGUCAGUCUGCAUGAAGCAGCCAGAGCUGUCAGUCUGCAUGAAGCAGCCAGAGCUGUCAGCCUGCAUGGAGCAGCCAGAGCUGUCGGUCUGCAUGGAGCAGCCAGAGCUGUCGGUCUGCAUGGAGCAGCCAGAGCUGUCAGUCUGCAUGGAGCAGCCAGAGAUGUCAGUCUGCAUGAAGCAGCCAGAGAUGCCAGUCUGCACGGAGCUGCCAGUCUGCAAGGAGCUGCCAGUCUGCAAGGAGCUGCCAGUCUGCAAGGAGCUGCCAGUCUGCAAGGAGCUGCCAGUCUGCAAGGAGCUGUCAGUCUGCAAGGAGCUGUCAGUCUGUAAGGAGCUGUCAGUCUGUAAGGAGCUGCCAGUCUGCAAGGAGCUGCCAGUCUGCACGGAGCCGCCAGAGCUGCCAGUCUGUAAGAAGCCGCCAGAGCUGUCAGCCUACAUGGAGCAGCCAGAGCCGCCAGUCAGCGUGGAGCAGCCAGAGCCGCCAGUCAGCUUGGAGCAGCCAGAUCUUUCAGUCUGCCAGGAUCCGCCAGUCGGCCAGACUCUUCCAGAUCCGCCAGUCAGCCAGACUCUUCCAGAUCUGCCAGACUCUUCCAGAUCUGCCAGUCAGCCAGACUCUUCCAGAUCUGCCAGUCAGCCAGACUCUUCCAGAUCUGCCAGUCAGCCAGACUCUUCCAGAUCUGCCAGUCAGCCAGACUCUUCCAGAUCCGCCAGUUUACCAGACUCUUCCAGAUCCGCCAGUCAACCAGACUCUUCCAGAUCCGCCAGUCAACCAGACUCUUCCAGAUCUGCCAGUCAGCCAGACUCUUCCAGAUCUGCCAGUCAGCCAGACUCUUCCAGAUCCGCCAGUCAGCCAGACUCUUCCAGAUCCGCCAGUCAGCCAGACUCUUCCAGAUCCGCCAGUCAGCCAGACUCUUCCAGAUCCGCCAGUCAGCCAGACUCUUCCAGAUCCGCCAGUCAGCCAGACUCUUCCAGAUCCGCCAGUCUACCAGACUCUUCCAGAUCCGCCAGUCUACCAGACUCUUCCAGAUCCGCCAGUCAACCAGAUCCGCCAGUCAACCAGACUCUUCCAGAUCCGCCAGUCAACCAGACUCUUCCAGAUCCGCCAGUCAGCCAGACUCUUCCAGAUCCGCCAGUCAGCCAGACUCUUCCAGAUCCGCCAGUCAGCCAGACUCUUCCAGAUCCGCCAGUCAGCCGGGAUCUGCCAGAUCUGCCAGUCGGCCGGGAUCCGCCAGUCGGCCAGGAUCCGCCAGUCGGCCAGGAUCCGCCAGUCGGCCAGGAUCCGCCAGUCGGCCAGGAUCUGCCAGUCAGCCAGGAUCUGCUGAAACCACCAGCCAGCCAGGAUCUGGUAGAUCUACCUACCUGCCUGAGCUUCCUCUCACUCCCGAGCUUCCUCUCACUCCCGAGCUUCCUCUCACUCCCGAGCUUCCUCUCACUCCCGAGCUUCCUCUCACUCCCGAGCUUUCUCUCACUCCCGAGCUUUCUCUCACUCCCGAGCUUUCUCUCACUCCCGAGCUUCCCCUCAGUCCAGUGGGUUUCUGGGUGAGGACUACUAGGCCAUGGUCGGCGGCGAGGGUGGACUAUCCAGGGACGGGAGGAGAGGGGACUAAGACAUUGACUGAGUGGGUUCCACGUCCCGCGCCGGAGCCGCCACCAUGGACAGACGCCCACCCGGACCCUCCUUAUUGUUUUGAGGUGCGUUCGGG
ensembl:lncRNA